GGUGUCAGUCCAUAGACUAUAAUUUAUGACACAUCAAGGCAUAACCAAAACACAUUAAAUGGCGGAAAAACUGGAUUGCCCGCAUCGGACAAAAGGCCCAAAUAUUCAUUAGCAUUCAAGUCUAGGGGGCAGUUCAACAGGCGUCCGCAACAAAAUUUGCUACUUAUUGGGAUAUAUUCCCAAUAAGGAGUAAAAAUAAACGAAGUGAAGUCGGUCGCCUGGAACAUAAGAAAACUUGUGGAUGGUUAUGCUCUAGGCGGUCGCAGAAAAAAACUACGAUACUUCCUAUACCGGAAUGCAACGCAGGUAAAGCAUCAUAAAGUGUGACGUUCAGCAUCAACGAAAGGUAAAUACUAUCGGCCAUGGUGUCCAAGUCGGGAUAGUAAAUAAAUUAAAGAACAAAUAAGAACCGAAAAAAGUACAAAACAAAACAAAACAGAUAUACCAAAAACAACAGAAAAAUGGGUAUGGAUCAUCGACAUAAACAGGACCAUAAAAGUGAGCGACUACUGAGUCAUUUGCAUUCAUUCAAUUCAGGUACGUACAUCAUUUUGUCUUAUUUUAAGUGGCAUUUGUGGAUUUAAAGUUUUGUUUCUUUUCAUUAUUUUUUUUAUGCGCUGUGGGGAAAAACCCACGAUUGAAGCCGGGCACAAAAAAAAAGGUGUCAAGGUAUAGUCAACUUUUUUUUCUUUCCAACACCCAUCCGACGCCGCUUCAGUAAAGAUUGUAUUUAUUGAGUGAUAUGGGGACAAAAGUCAUUGACAUUGAGUUGUGGACCAUCUUUACAACCUAUUUUACUGCACAUAUAACUGGUGAGCUUUUAAGUAUUUUUAUUUACGUAUUCUAGUAUUAAGUAUUAUUUAUUAAAAAUAUAAAUCAGUCAAGCAUGCAAAACAACACAGUUAAAUAAAUAAAUUUCAAUAAAUAAAUAAAUUAAUAAAUGUGGUAAAAAUAAAAACUUAAAUCUAGUAUCACAGUUAUAUAAAAUGUCAAGAAAAUAAAAAAAAAUAUAAAUAUCACAGAUCGAAAAAGAAAAAAAAUGAACUAUGUUAAAACUAAUCCAAAAUUAAGUAAAUAUCACAGAUUAAGAAAAAUAUAAUUAACUAAACUACACCUAAACUAAAAUUAAGUAAAUAUCACAGAUUAUAAAAAAAAUUUAACUAAAUUAUCAGUCUUUAAAAUUUAUUAUCAAAAAUUUAUAAAAUCACAGAUGCUUAUUAGUUUUAUCACAGUACCUAAGUAUAUAAUUUAAAUUCUAAUCAAUACAUAUAACAAAAUAUCAAUAAAUAACAUUAAGUAACAUAAGUAAAACUAAUUUUAAGCAUGCAGUUAAUAAAAUUUAUAAUAAAACAUAAAAUUUCUUUGUUUUUAUCAAACA